rnacentral:rRNA from 1 species
UUCGACUGUUUACCAAAAACAUAGCUAUGAGAAAAAAUUAUCCCUAGUGUCACCUGCUCAAUGAUUGAACAAUAAUCACAAAACAACAAUUAAAUAGCCGCGGUAACACCUGACCGUGCAAAGGUAGCAUAAUAAAUCGCCUACUAAUUAUAGGAUAGAAUGAAGGUAAAACGAAAACUCAACUGUCUCAAGAACCCAAAUUUAAAAUAGAAUGUGUGUGCAAAUCCUCACCAAAAAGGCUAGACGAUAAGACCCUAGGAACUAUACCCAAAACUUAAACACAAUACCCUUAAGUCAUAAGCUUCGUUGGGGCAACGAUCUUUCAAAAAGUAACUAAGACUAAAAAACUAAAUCCAAACAAAAAAAUAAAUACACUACNNUGAUAAAACCCACUACACACACAACAAAUAAUGACAAAAAAUAAAAGUUCCCUAGGGAUAACAGCGUUAUAUCGU